GCAGGCGCGGUGCCUGUGCAGCCUGGUGUUGGCAGUGACGCCACCACGAUGAAGGCCAAGAACGUUAACUUGCUCUUCGCCUUCGUUGCCGUCCUGCUCUUUGGUUUCUCGUGUUUCUGCAUCUCCAGGAUGAACCAAACCAAUAAUCAACUAAUUAACUGCAGAAACCACGUUUUGGAGUUUAAGGAAAUUAUGCUCCGUUUAAAAAACAAAAGUGAAAAUCAUCACCAAGAUCUAAUGCAAGUCUUGUAUCAAAUGAAGCGUAAAGCUGCCCACACAACAAGAUCAUCAGGAAACUUCCUUGAGAAGAAGGGGAGCAUAUUGAGUCAGCAUGAAACACUUCCUAACCAAUUUGAAGUCUUAAAGUACUUCCUUCCUCAUCUAAGGACAGCAGGGAAACUUUACCCAGACAUAGCCACCAGCAAAGGGAGAGCAGGCGUUUCCUUUGCACUGGGAAUCUCCACCAUUAACAGAGGGAACCACACCUACCUGAAGCAAACGCUGACCUCUGUUCUCUCCAGAAUGACUCCCGAAGAAGAGGAGGACUCUGUGGUGAUCGUCUCUGUCGCUGAUACUGAUGAAAGUUACUUAAAAUCUGUUGUUCGCAUGGUUAAAACCAAAUUCAGAAAGCAAGUGCAGUCUGGCGUCUUGGAGGUCAUUUCAAUACCCACCCUUUUUUAUCCUCAAACAUUACUGGACAAGAAAAUGAAGACAGACUCAGAAAGUUGGCAAAUAAAACAAGUAUUGGACUUCUGUAUUCUGAUGCUGUAUGCCCAGCCCAAGGCCACGUAUUAUUUACAGCUAGAAGAUGAUAUCGUAGCAAAAAAGAUGUAUUUUACAAAAAUGAAAGAUUUUGUAAAUAGUCUCACUUCAAAAAAUUGGUUUUUUAUUGAGUUUUCAGUCCUUGGAUUUAUAGGAAAACUUUUUCGAUCGAAGGACCUCACUGACUUUGUGCAUUUUUUCCUGAUGUUCUAUGAAACAAAGCCCAUAGAUAUACUUUUAGAUGACAUUUUCCUGAUUCGGGUGUGCACCUCGGGGGAGCCUGUUAGGAGAUGUUUGCAGCGAAAGAAGGGAUUUCGAAUUCAGUACAGACCAUCUCUGUUCCAACAUGUGGGCACUCAGUCAUCAUUUCCAGGACGAGAACAGCACCUCAAGGAUAAUUAUUACUAGGAUUUCUUAAAUUUUAUAACUUCUUUUAAAAUUACCAGACUCAUUUUUGGGAAAAAGGCACAGCAAAUAUCAAAUUUUCUUGAAUAAUACUAAAGAAGAGACUACAUUAUUUAUUUUUUAAAUUUAAGCCUUCAAUAAUAAAGAAUACUGAAGAUAAGAAACAUACAAGAAGAAACUUUGUCAUGCCUGAUCUUCUGAUAUGUCAGUUUCUAAUGGUAUCUUUCAGAAAUUGGAAGAGUGGAAAUAGAUUAACUAGAGAAAAAAAAAAAGCAAUGAACAUUUGAAUACAUCAAAUAACUUCUCAUGGCAAGGCAAAAGUAGAGAUUUUUGUCAGUGAUAUUUUUAGAUUAAAGUGUUAAAGUUUAAAACAGCAAAAUUAGAGAAGUUCUAACAUUUAAGAACCAUAUCUUAUCGACUUAGCAAGGCCAUCCCACAGAAAGCACUAAAGCUCAGAAGCAUUCUAGUAUCCUGAGCGGGCUGUAUGGUAACUGGUCUGUGUGUUAUAAUUCCUUUUGAAAAGACAUCCAAAGAAAUAGGAAGCAGAGACUCUAUUCAGCCCAGGGCUGGUUGUAUCGCCCAUCUUUUUGUCUUUUAACGAACACGUUUCAGCUCUAAAGCCACCACUGAGCUCUAUGUGAAUCCAUCAUCAGACACUGUGGUGAGGGACAUAUUUUUGAUAGUCAUUCAUUUUUAAACACAUCACAGAUGGACCUAUGGAUUGUUUUGCAGUGUUUAUUUUGGGAACACAUUGUCUUUCUGUGUUCUUCUGACUGAUUUCCGACUGCAUUGCUGUUGAGAUGAGUUACCUAUGUAAUAGUAUCAGGGGAUGCCUGUAAAUUCAUGUGGAAUGCAUGAACCCUGGGCACACUUUUUCAAUGGUUGAAUUUGCUUGUUUUUAUGGAUGUUGUCUUUGUAAAUUAAAAACGCCUCUUUAAAAGGGCUGGAGAGAUGGCUCAUCAGUUAGGAGCAUUGGUGUUCUUCCAGAGGAUGGCCAGGGUUCAAUUCCUAACACCUAUUUGGCAGCUCAUAAUGGUAACUCGAGUCCCAGGGGAUCGACACCCUCACACAGACGUACAUGCAAGCAGAACACCAAUAAGCACAUGAGUUUUAAAUGCCUUUUAAAGUGUUUGUACUUGUUUGCUGCAAAGUGCUCUGUGUUGAAGUCUUUUUAGUUCUCAGUGACUAAGCCAUCAGUUUCUUA